rnacentral:rRNA from 1 species
GGCGGCAGGCCUAACACAUGCAAGUCGAGCGGCAGCGGGAAGUAGCUUGCUACUUUGCCGGCGAGCGGCGGACGGGUGAGUAAUGUCUGGGAAACUGCCUGAUGGAGGGGGAUAACUACUGGAAACGGUAGCUAAUACCGCAUGACGUCGCAAGACCAAAGUGGGGGACCUUCGGGCCUCACGCCAUCGGAUGUGCCCAGAUGGGAUUAGCUAGUAGGUGAGGUAAUGGCUCACCUAGGCGACGAUCCCUAGCUGGUCUGAGAGGAUGACCAGCCACACUGGAACUGAGACACGGUCCAGACUCCUACGGGAGGCAGCAGUGGGGAAUAUUGCACAAUGGGCGCAAGCCUGAUGCAGCCAUGCCGCGUGUGUGAAGAAGGCCUUAGGGUUGUAAAGCACUUUCAGCGAGGAGGAAGGCGUUGUAGUUAAUAGCUGCAACGAUUGACGUUACUCGCAGAAGAAGCACCGGCUAACUCCGUGCCAGCAGCCGCGGUAAU